UAAAAGGCGGAGCCAGGUGUACAGAGUGGA
rnacentral:piRNA from 1 species